rnacentral:rRNA from 1 species
UUGUUUAUUUUCUAAGGAUUACAGUUAAAAUUAAAAUAUUUGGCGGCUAUUAAUAUUAAAGGGAUUUGCUUUAUAUCGAUUUACCUCGUUUGAUACUAUUUAGUUUAUUUUUGUAUACCGUCAUUUAGAUAAUUUAAAUAUAAUUAAUUAUGGAGAUAAUAUUCUUUAAAUUAGAUCAAGGUGCAGAUAUAGUUAAUAUUAAGUUAAUGACAAUAAUUUAUUAUUAUACAGGAUUUGUUUAAUUAUUUAGAAUAGGAGGAUUUAAAUGUAAUGGAAGAGUG